CUUGUUGGUGGGGUGACGGCCUACCAAGGCGACGACGGGUAGCCGGCCUGAGAGGGCGACCGGCCACACUGGGACUGAGACACGGCCCAGACUCCUACGGGAGGCAGCAGUGGGGAAUAUUGCACAAUGGGCGGAAGCCUGAUGCAGCGACGCCGCGUGAGGGAUGACGGCCUUCGGGUUGUAAACCUCUUUCAGCAGGGACGAAGCGCAAGUGACGGUACCUGCAGAAGAAGCGCCGGCCAACUACGUGCCAGCAGCCGCGGUAAGACGUAGGGCGCGAGCGUUGUCCGGAUUUAUUGGGCGUAAAGAGCUCGUAGGCGGCUUGUCGCGUCGACUGUGAAAUCCCGCGGCUCAACUGCGGGUCUGCAGUCGAUACGGGCAGGCUAGAGUUCGGUAGGGGAGACUGGAAUUCCUGGUGUAGCGGUGAAAUGCGCAGAUAUCAGGAGGAACACCGAUGGCGAAGGCAGGUCUCUGGGCCGAUACUGACGCUGAGGAGCGAAAGCGUGGGGAGCGAACAGGAUUAGAUACCCUGGUAGUCCACGCUGUAAACGUUGGGCGCUAGGUGUGGGGGACCUCUCCGGUUCUCUGUGCCGCAGCUAACGCAUUAAGCGCCCCGCCUGGGGAGUACGGCCGCAAGGCUAAAACUCAAAGGAAUUGACG
rnacentral:rRNA from 1 species